AUCUCUGAUCGUGGUAUGUGACUCAUGCGUUUAACUCCUGAUUUUCUAAGUUCUUUGCCAUCUCGUGAAACAUUCAGUACAGUCUCAUAAGAAAGAAAACAAAAUUUAGACGUGCUGGAACCAAAUCCAUGCUUUAGUCUUGGGAAUUUCCGUGCAACAAAUCUAAUAGAAACAUUGAAGGAGAGGGCGGCUGAAGGUUGGUGGUCACGGAACGUGAGGAGCCAACAUCUUUUUUCUCUCGCAUGGAUAGCUAUUUCCUCACUCCCCCUUUGUCCGCAACUUCCGUUUGUUCUUCGGAGGUGAGAUGGAGGGUGGCAUUGGUAAUACCACAAGUCUAGGCAAUGAUGGCGAGUUUUGCACGAGCAGCUUAUACAAUCAAAUUUCUUUUUUACUGACACUUUUGAAAGUCUUUUCAUGCUUGCCCGAUAUAAAAAGGACAUUGCAAAUCUCUUACUCUUCAGUUGCAAACCGUGCAGUUGCAAAUACCAACCUCUAAAGCAAUCUUUAUCAAAAUGCCCUUAUUCUCCAAUGUUAUGGUGUGUUUAAUUCUAUAUUCUAAGUAAAAAAUUCAAUGAGAAGUCAGCUUUAACUCUCGGUAACGAGGGUGACUAGGAAGCUUGAUAAAGUCGUGGACAAUGAAAAAAAAACAUGAAAAAGGAUUUGGACAUGUUCUGGCCAGCCCACGACGUGCACAGUACUACUAAGCUGAUACCGACAAACCGCUAUAUGACCAAAGGCUUGGCUGUUGCGGAAAAUUUUAAAGAAUAUAGCAAUAGGAUAUAAAGAAUUUUGUUUAAUCUUUGAUUUUGUAGGCACUGAUGUCCCCACGCGAUGGUUUUCAGGAUUUAUGGACAUUUCGAAUAUGAUAUAACGCUUUGAUUUCCUUUCAACUUUUCGUUGGCCUGCAGGUUGAUAUAGGAUAAACAAAGAUGUACUAUGGCCUAUUGACAAAAUGAAAAAUAAUGCAGUAGUGAAGACAUAACAAUGAACCACGUUCUUCGUUCGUAGACUCGGAAUAUAAAUUUGAAAUAUUCUUACCGCUGCGGUUCCAAUAAAACAAAAUGCUAAUUUCAAAUGAAAUGCGGAAAAUCU